rnacentral:rRNA from 1 species
GAUGGACGCUGGCGGCGUGCUUAACACAUGCAAGUCGAACGGAAAGGCUCCUGCUUGCAGGGGUACUCGAGUGGCGAACGGGUGAGUAACACGUGGGUGAUCUGCCCUGCACUUCGGGAUAAGCCUGGGAAACUGGGUCUAAUACCGGAUAGGACGAUGGUUUGGAUGCCAUUGUGGAAAGUUUUUUCGGUGUGGGAUGAGCUCGCGGCCUAUCAGCUUGUUGGUGGGGUAAUGGCCUACCAAGGCGUCGACGGGUAGCCGGCCUGAGAGGGUGUACGGCCACAUUGGGACUGAGAUACGGCCCAGACUCCUACGGGAGGCAGCAGUGGGGAAUAUUGCACAAUGGGCGCAAGCCUGAUGCAGCGACGCCGCGUGGGGGAUGACGGCCUUCGGGUUGUAAACUCCUUUCGCUAGGGACGAAGCGUAAGUGACGGUACCUGGAGAAGAAGCACCGGCUAACUACGUG